UACAAAUUAUGUCUUUUUUUUAACAAAAAAUCCUCACCAUGUUACACAGUAGCAGUGAAAAAAGAUUCUCAAGGCAACAUUUUGAAACCGAUUCAGAAGGCGUUUGCAGACUCACAUGAAGAUUAUUAUUAUUUAUUUUUUGGUAAAACAUCCUUUCAAGCAAAACGUAUCACGCUGCAGAGCUGUUGCUGGGGUAACACAUUCUAGAACUGUCUUUUUCAUGAAACUGUUACAGUGUUACAUUGAAACUACAGAAAUACACUGUAACCAUGGAAGAACAUUUUCAAGCCAACAUGUAAGACUGUGUGAUUCUAAGUUUACGAGAACACAUCAGGUUGUUAGAAGAUGUAAUUACACACUAAUCUGUGUAUCUGAGUACAACAUUCUUUUUUUUCUGUUCCACAAACUCAAACUUACUGACUCAUCCUUUAAUAAGUAUUUUAUAAUAUGACUCCACAAAACUUUUGAAUGAUUUAAAAAGUUUUGAGUUAAAUUUUUAACCUCACAGUCACAUCGUGUGAAAUAGUAAAGGUAGAGAUACAUUUUGGUAAAUAUGAGGUUUCGUUUGGCUGUUUUUAGAUCAAGCUUAAAUAAAACUGAGUGGUGGAGCAGAGGGUGAAGCAGGAGCCUCUUCUGUCUCCACAGAGACCAGCCACCUCAUGAAGCCUUCAUGAAGGGGCUGAGGCAUGAUGGGGGAUGGAGGCAGGAGUGAUGUAGGAGGGGGGCUCCUGUGGGCGUCGUGAAGCGGCCCUGGCAGGUCUUAAUGCUGCUGUCAGACGUCCCGGUCCAGCGAUGUGCUUUCCUCACGCUCCAUCACCUUUGAGAUUAUACGACUUUUAAAUGAGCCGCAGCCACGGGGAACGGCACCCGGGGAACGCCUGUCGCCCCGCCAACACGAGCCAUGAUUUGCCGUGCCAUUAAUCUCUGCGGGGAGAUCUCAGCCGAUUUGUCCUCACCGACAAAUGAAGCUGUAAAACUUUUCCUGCAUGUGACGCUGUUGCCGACGGGACCACAACGCCAUCGGCACACGCAUCAGGAGCCAAUCGGGACCCGAGAUCUGUGCAAAUGUCCGCGCACCAAGGGAAGAAAGAAGAGACAGCAUUUAGGUUUAGGUCUGAACACAGGACAGGCUUUAAAUCAAGCAGGCAGGAAAUAGCCUGUUGAUUACAGCUGGAGGUGGAGUCAGCUGACCACGCUACAGGAAACAGGCCUCUGAUGGUGAACCGAGCAGCUCAGAAACACACUUCAUAUUAAUGUUUUUAAUAAAACAGAGAAGAAACAUGGAAGUAAAUACUCUGUAAAUGAAACUGAAGCACAUCAACAGAACUCAGACUCCAACAUAUCCACGUAUCCAAACGCCCUCAGCCUCUCUGACUCUGAGCUGUCCCUCUGAUGGACUCGUUUCUGAUCCUGUCUGUCCCACCCACUGAACAUCUUCACGUCAGCCUCCAUCAUUUCCAAACCAUCACAGCAGGUAUCACUACCACCUUGUAAACCUUCCCUUUCACUCUUGCUGCUCUCCUUCUGUCACAAAUCACCCAACACUUGUCUCCACCUACUCCACCCCGCCAGCACUCUCACCUCUCUUUGGAUGUUUGACUCCAGGUAUUUAAACUCAUCCACCUUGACUAACUCUGCUCCUUUCCUCCUGUCCCACUCUCAUUCACACACAUGUAUUCUGUCUUGCUUCUGCUGUCUUUCAUUCCUCUUCUCUCCAGCUCAUUCCUCCACCUGUUCUCUACUCCCACUCAGUUUGUUGUUGGACUAAUUUUAGUUUUCCACAGAUUUCUAAAAGGUUUCACUGUUUUUUUUAUGACAGCUGUUCUGAUAAAUUUUAAGUGCUGUAUAUUUCAGAUAUGUCUCCAUGAUAAACGACAGAGCUUUAAAAGAAGCGGACACAAUAAACCUGAACGAGUCAUCAAAUUACUGAAUAUGUGAAAACUUUAACAGACCCGUUCGGCCUCGAGGAGCUCCGGGGGGACCGGGAGGAGCAUCUCGAGGGCCUGGCUUUGUUUUCUUUUCUCUCCGCCCUCGGCUGGCUGCUUUCAUGGCGGUCAUUAGGCGCCCAGCCAGCGGCGGUGAUGGUUGUCCAAACUGAGAAUCAGGAGCUGGAGAAGAGAAACGACACGGAGUCCAGCAGGGAGCCCGAGAGAGGAAAAGUUUUAAUGGAUGAAAGGAGAGAAGGGGGUCAGUCAGCUACUCUAACUGGUCUCCCAGGCCCUCCUUAAAGCUCCUCUCUCCAUCCUGCAGAGUACAGUAGCUUCUCUAAGCAAAGCUCGGAGCUCCCCGCUGGGUUUGGUGUUUGUUGCCUUUGGGGUGAUGAUGGCUUCAGAUGGUUGCUGGUUGGAGGGGGUUGGGUGGGAGGCUGGAGAGCUGUCACCUGGGAGUCAUGGCCUACAUCGGCUCUUAAAAGGAUCUGAAGCUUCUCUCUUUUCAGUCUUUUUCUCUUCCAGAAGCGAAUCCCCAGCUGCCCCGUUACACGCGAGUUUCUAAAUUUAAAGCCUCACUGUGGAGGAAAAAUAAAGAGACGCAGGGGGAAACUCUGAAAACACACAUGAACAAAAACCAAAGUUAUUUUACUCUGUGCGUCUACAAAUCCAAACAUGUUCAGACACAAUGGAGUGUCAGUCAUCUCAUUUCCUUCAUUUCGGGUCAAUUUUUACUUCUAACACAAAAAUCAGGCACCAGCCUCUAGAUAAUGAAUACUUUAUACAGCAGUAAGAUAAUUGUUCUCAACUUUACCUCACUGAAAAUUACUUUUGCCUUCAAACUUGUAGAAUUUAAGGAGUUUGGGAGUAAAUCAAAAAGUUUGAGUCAUUUAGAGACUAUGAGAUGUCACUGCUGCACAGUUUCACUUCUACAAACCUAAAAUUGCAACAUGCAGACAGGUUUGAAUCGUUUUCUGAGCAAAUGAGAGCGUGGGAGCCUUCAGAGAGUCCCGGCAGGUAAAAAGUCCUAACUUCAACACGAUGAGCAGCAGAAACAAACUGUCCAAUCCAGAGGGAGUGAAGAGGGUCCACAGCUUGAUAAGCAGAACUGAAGCCGAGGCCCUGGGACGCGAAGCUUAUAAUCAAUUUUUUAAAUGUCUCGAACAAGAAAAGGUGUAGGUUUGCUGCUCAGUGUGGAUCUCUGAAAGUUCACUUCUCAGAAAAACAUGGACGCCCAGAGAUCUUUUCACCAGUACACUGUCGUCUCCCAGGACUGAGAGGCUUCAGAUUUUUGUUAUGGAGAGGCGGGCUCUCCAUAAACACCUCUGAAUAUACCUGCCUGCAGAGAGUCUGCAGCUCUGAGCUGCUGAGUAGUUUUUUUUGAAAGAACUGAAAUGUGUAUAUACAGAUUAAACCCUUAAACACACACACAAAAACACACUGCAGCCUGUUUAAUUCAUUCACUUUUUUAAAAUCACACUCCAGCUCGUCCCUGGCCCUGGAUCACUUUUGUUAACUUAUUAUUGCAGAAAACAAAAAUCGCGGUGAUUUAGUCGUCAUUAAAAUGUGUUCAGAAUAUGUUAUUGGUAAUACUGGCCCUGUAUUUGGUAUCGGAUCAGUACCAGAGUUUGCAGUAUUGAACACCAGUAGCUUCCAGUGAGAUGCAUGCCCUCUCAUGGCCGGCUUACACUUCACUGUUUUUACUUUAUUAUCCCUGUGACGCGUUCAUGGUGCAAAGUUUUGUGACUCUUUCAGAGAUGGAGGAAGACGUAAGAACGAUGGGACAGAAAGAACAACAAUUUUAUACUGGAAAUAUAUUUUUUAAAUUAUGUCCUCAUUCAUUCUUGCAAAACAAAUAGAAAUGUUUUAAUUUAAUUUUAAUCAACUGUGAUGAAGUUUACUGUGAUGCAAUGUGCUGGACUGGUUACAUGAAGAGCAGCAGACAUCAUUUCAUAUUUAAAAUGUUUAAGAUGUUUCAUAGUGUGUUUACUGUCUCUAGAGGAUGGAAAUCAGUGCUUAGUGGCUAAAACCACAAAGUGCAACAGCACAGGUCAGCUAAACACGGCCUAUACACAAAGAUGGAUGGAAACAAAGUGAUUCUUUGUCCUCACGCCGCCCUGCUACACCCAAUCUUAGGGGUACCCCACCUGCCAAAUCCCACUUUAACCCCUGUUAAUGGCACCACCUUCACUUUGCAUGAAUAUUUAAUCCCCUGUAGAUAUUAACACAUUACCAUGACACAUAAUGCUCAAACCUUUGAAUUCUGCUGUGAUUCUUUUUAAUAAAUAUAUUUUAUACUGACUUCAAGUCAAGCUGUAGGCCCGUGUUUCUGAACUCUAGAGAUAUGCUGUCCUCUGGGCUGACAAUGGCCCACGAUGUAAACCGAGUUUGACACCCCUGAGUUAGAUGGAAGAAUGCUGAGGACACUGAUAGAAAAAGUGGAGGAAGAUCUAAACACUCAGCGUUUCACGUUUUUUUCUAUUCUUGGCUCUGUGUGAUGUCAUAGAGCAGAUAAUAAAGGCCACAGAAACCACACCCACCAACUGCUUAUUUUGCUGAUG